GGUUUCCCGAAUUGUAGUGGUUAUCACGUUGGGGCUUCACACGCGAAAGGUCUCCGGUUCGACCCCGGACGGAACCA